AUAACUCCCUCAUUCGCCAAUAUCAACAGCAGCUCCGACAGCUAACUGGCCAUUUGGAGAUGCAUGAUAAAUUAAACUUACCGUCGGAACAACAUAUUAACCAUUGUUCCUGAACAUUUAAAAAAAAAACAAUUUAUGAUACAAGAAGAAGAAAUUACAGAUCACAUCCUUUGUACACUUCUCCCUCCGAGGUUCGAUUCGAAGGCCAAUUCGUCGAUUGUUUUCUUUAGUAAAUUUGUGGAGCAUUGGGUUUGGGAUUCGAUUCGACGAACUUUAAGGCCGGCGGAUGACAGGAGCUUGAUAUUACUUUGAGGAUGAGCUUACUGGAUUCAUCGGCAUCUUUGCUUGCUACAUGUGGAGGGGACACUGUAAAGCUCUUUGAUGUCAGCGUUAAAUCUGGUGAUCCAUGUACUCUGAGCUAUACUCCUUCGCCCGGAUCUCAAGUGAACUCCGUUAAAUGGAAUCACACAAAUCUUGUUGUUGCCAGUGCUGGAGAAGAUAAAAAGAUAUCAUUGUGGCGUAAAAAUGGUCAAAGUAUGGGGGAGGUACCCCUCGGUGGCAGUAAUGUUGGUGAUGACA